GACGUGCAGUUUAUGUUCAGAGAAACCUAACAAGUUAAUAUGAAAACAUAUUAACUUGUUAGGUUUCUCUGAUCAUUUGAUUGCAG